rnacentral:rRNA from 1 species
GUAUACGUAGUGACCAGNNUNUCCGNAUUAUUNGGGGUAAAGGGAGCCCAGGCGGUNGAAUANUNUGAUGUGAAAGCCCNCGGNUAACCGUGGANGUCAUUGNAAACUGUCCAACNUGAAUACAGAAGAGGUAAGUGGNAUUCCAAGUGUAGCGGUGAAAUGCGUAGAUAUUUGGAGGAACACCAGUGGCGAAGGCGACUUACUGGUCUGUAAUUGACGCUGAGGCUCGAAAGCGUGGGUAGCAAACAGGAUUAGAUACCCUGGUAGUCCACGCCGUAAACGAUGAGUGCUAAGUGUUAGGGGGUUUCCGCCCCUUAGUGCUGGAGUUAACGCAUUAAGCACUCCGCCUGGGGAGUACGGCCGCAAGGCUGAAACUCAAAGGAAUUGACGGGGACCCGCACAAGCGGUGGAGCAUGUGGUUUAAUUCG